rnacentral:rRNA from 1 species
UACGGAGGGUGCGAGCGUUGUUCGGAAUCACUGGGCGUAAAGAGCGUGUAGGCGGCCCGAUAAGUCCGCUGUGAAAGUCCAGGGCUCAACCCUGGGAUGCCGGUGGAUACUGUCGGGCUCGAGUCCGGAAGAGGAGAGUGGAAUUCCCGGUGUAGCGGUGAAAUGCGCAGAUAUCGGGAAGAACACCCGUGGCGAAGGCGGCUCUCUGGGACGGUACUGACGCUGAGACGCGAAAGCGUGGGGAGCGAACAGG